CUGCAGUCAAUUAAGCUGACCAGGUUCCUUUACUCAUGGUGACUUGGUGUGCAAUGGCUGCAAACAGCAGCCUCCUUGGGUAGUGUAUGUAACCUUUUUAAAAUAU
rnacentral:snoRNA from 1 species